CAGGCCUAACACAUGCAAGUCGAACGGCAGCACAGCAGUAGCAAUACUGUGGGUGGCGAGUGGCGGACGGGUGAGUAAUGCAUCGGGACCUGCCCAGACGUGGGGGAUAACGUAGGGAAACUUACGCUAAUACCGCAUACGUCCUACGGGAGAAAGCGGGGGAUCUUCGGACCUCGUGCGGUUGGAUGGACCGAUGUUCGAUUAGCUAGUUGGCGGGGUAAAGGCCCACCAAGGCGACGAUCGAUAGCUGGUCUGAGAGGAUGAUCAGCCACACUGGGACUGAGACACGGCCCAGACUCCUACGGGAGGCAGCAGUGGGGAAUAUUGGACAAUGGGCGCAAGCCUGAUCCAGCAAUGCCGCGUGUGUGAAGAAGGCCUUCGGGUUGUAAAGCACUUUUAUCAGGAGCGAAACGCUGCCGGCCAAUACCCGGCGGAACUGACGGUACCUGAGGAAUAAGCACCGGCUAACUUCGUGCCAGCAGCCGCGGUAAUACGAAGGGUGCAAGCGUUAAUCGGAAUUACUGGGCGUAAAGCGUGCGUAGGCGGUGACUUAAGUCUGCUGUGAAAUCCCCGGGCUCAACCUGGGAAUGGCAGUGGAUACUGGGUCGCUAGAGUGUGAUAGAGGAUGGUGGAAUUCCCGGUGUAGCGGUGAAAUGCGUAGAGAUCGGGAGGAACAUCAGUGGCGAAGGCGGCCAUCUGGAUCAACACUGACGCUGAGGCACGAAAGCGUGGGGAGCAAACAGGAUUAGAUACCCUGGUAGUCCACGCCCUAAACGAUGCGAACUGGAUGUUGGUCUCAACUCGGAGAUCAGUGUCGAAGCUAACGCGUUAAGUUCGCCGCCUGGGGGAGUACGGUCGCAAGACUGAAACUCAAAGGAAUUGACGGGGGGCCCGCACAAGCGGGGGGAGUAUGUGGGUUUAAUUCCGAUGCAACCGCGAAGAACCCUUACCUGGGCCUGGACAUGUCUGG
rnacentral:rRNA from 1 species